rnacentral:RNase_P_RNA from 1 species
CGAGCGGGUGGGGCGAUCGCUGGCGAUACGAGUUGUCGCUGGAGGAAAGUCCGGGCUCCGCAGGACAGGAUGGUCGAUAACGUCGACCGGCCGCGAGGUUAGGGAAAGUGCAGCAGAGAAUAGACCGCCGAACGGCAUGUUGGUCACCUCGGUGGCUGAUCAUGUGCGUGGUAAGGGUGAAACGGUGCGGUAAGAGCGCACCAGCGACCGAGGUGACUCGGUCGGCUUGGUAAACCCCAUCCGGAGCUAGACCAAACAGAACGAAGCAGUGGUCGGUGGCUUGCCACCCGCCAUUCACGUGGCGGUCCGUCACGUCCCUACGUUCGGGUAGGUCGCAGUAGAGGCGGCGAGCAAUCGUCGUGCACAGAUAAAUGAUCGUCGUUGUCGUGCGUCGCCCUCGGGUGGCGUCGACUUCACAGAACCCGGCUUACAAACCCGCUCGUCGU